rnacentral:tRNA from 1 species
CAGGGAGACAACAAAAUGUUUAAUUUUAUUAUUUUGUCACCUUAGGUCGAUCGGUAUCUCACAUUUUUAAUUUAUUAAGAAUUUCAUUUCCUAAGUUUUUCUAGGUCACACCCAUUAUUUUCCCUGGGCCAUUAGCUCAGGUGGUUAGAGCGCACCCCUGAUAAGGGUGAGGUCCCUGGUUCAAGUCCAGGAUGGCCCAUAUCUCUAUGUUGGGGGUAUAGCUCAGUUGGUAGAGCGCCUGCUUUGCAAGCAGGAUGUCAGCGGUUCGAGUCCGCUUACCUCCACUGAUUACCACCUCUUCCAUAAUCUGUAGAAGGGAAAUUUUUGAGUUGUGAUCACAUUCUGAACGAAUCUAGCUUCCUAAUGAAAUCAUUAAGAUGCUGGACUCAUUGAAUUAACUUCAUUGUUUUCAGAGAACCUUGACAACUGCAUAGAUUAUUUUUAAAGACAAUAAGCAUCUUUAAUGAUGCAGAUUUAUUAUUUGUGCGAAUGCAUUAAUAACAAUUCUAUUAAGCUGAUGCUUCAAUUUUUGAAGUUAUU